rnacentral:lncRNA from 1 species
GUGGUGAAAGUUCCUGGAGGGCUUCUCUCUUCCCUGCAGACAUAAAACCAGAAGGAUUCAGAAGGAUCUGCCAAAGGAAAUCUGCCACCCCAUCAACGAUCGUACUGCCAUCUGCAACGAGGGAGGCCUCAGAAACAGGAACCAUACAGCAAGUCACCAAACCUCUAACCCAAUCUUGGAACCUACCAAUCUUGGAAUCUGCAGUGGGUCACAGAAGGGAAACCAGCCAGACGUCAGCACGCUGCUGAGACCUCGGUCAAUGAGUCACCUGGGCUCUUGCGAAUUACAGAAUCAAUGUUGGAAGCCUAGGAAGCCAACUAAUCAGCCUGUUAAACUAUGGCUUCACUGCUGAGCCAUCUGUUCUAGACCAUGUUGCUGCCUCUGCCCACCACACACUUCCCUGGAGCUGGACCUGAUCAGCCAGAAGAAGCAUCUGAAAAGGAGCAUCUCAAUUUCAGCACAGUCGACCUUAACAAAAUAACUUCGGGAAGUGCACCAGCUUGGGAACCAGGACUUCGGGGUUCCCCUGCUUCUGUCAUCAGCAGCUGCACAGGCUUAUCUGAGACUUUCUCU